rnacentral:sRNA from 1 species
ACUUUUCUCGCGCUGGUCUCUUCGGUGCUGAGGGAUGGCGCGGAAGUCGAACUUGCCUGUGCGUCUCGUGCCGUUUCUGCUCUGCCAGGCCCUAGUGCGCUGCUCCAGCCCUCUGCCCCUGGUCGUCAACACUUGGCCUUUUAAGAAUGCAACCGAAGCAGCGUGGAGGGCAUUAGCAUCUGGAGGCUCUGCCCUGGAUGCAGUGGAGAGCGGCUGUGCCAUGUGUGAGAGAGAGCAGUGUGACGGCUCUGUAGGCUUUGGAGGAAGUCCUGAUGAGCUUGGAGAAACCACACUAGAUGCCAUGAUCAUGGAUGGCCACCACAUUUGCUCAAAGUAUGGGGUUUAUCAAUGAAGACUUAUCUACCAGUGCUUCUCAAGCUCUUCAUUCAGAUUGGCUUGCUCGGAAUUGCCAGCCAAAUUAUUGGAGGAAUGUUAUACCAGAUCCCUCAAAAUACUGCGGACCCUACAAACCACCUGGUAUCUUAAAGCAGGAUAUUCCUAUCCAUAAAGAAACAGAAGAUGAUCGUGGUCAUGACACUAUUGGUAAUUUGCCUUUUGUGCAGUUUUUAUGGAUAAAGUUUAGUUAAUUAUCUUCCUGUAGCUCUUCCCUAUUCUUCUACCAGAAGUUGAUUUUGAUUGUUUUAAUGCCAAUUAAGUGUGCCUCUCUAUAGAUAGAUCCAUCUUGUCUUAGGAUCUGUAUAAAAUUUGGGAAAUUAUUUAUACAAGACACCUAAAACCCAAUGACUAUUCACUUGCGGAUUUUUAAAUCUUUAUUUGACAUUUCAUUUUUUGGCAGUUUUAUGUUGCUGUAUUUUAGUGACCUUAAAUAACUUUUUCCAAGUUACAAUGUUGAAAAUUUACAUUAGUCUAUGUCUUAGU